rnacentral:rRNA from 1 species
UACGUAGGGUGCAAGCGUUGUCCGGAAUUAUUGGGCGUAAAGAGCUCGUAGGCGGUUUGUCGCGUCUGCUGUGAAAUCCCCGGGCUUAACCUGGGAAUGGCAUUUGGGACUGCAAGGCUUGAGUGCGGCAGAGGAGACUAGAAUUCCUGGUGUAGCAGUGAAAUGCGUAGAUAUCAGGAGGAAUACCGAUGGCGAAGGCAGGUCGCUGGGCUGACACUGACACUCAUGCACGAAAGCGUGGGGAGCAAACAGG